rnacentral:rRNA from 1 species
UAGAGUUUGAUCCUGGCUCAGAUUGAACGCUGGCGGCAGGCCUAACACAUGCAAGUCGAACGGUAACAGGAAGAAGCUUGCUUCUUUGCUGACGAGUGGCGGACGGGUGAGUAAUGUCUGGGAAACUGCCUGAUGGAGGGGGAUAACUACUGGAAACGGUAGCUAAUACCGCAUAACGUCGCAAAACCAAAGAGGGGGACCUUCGGGCCUCUUGCCAUCGGAUGUGCCCAGAUGGGAUUAGCUAGUAGGUGGGGUAACGGCUCACCUAGGCGACGAUCCCUAGCUGGUCUGAGAGGAUGACCAGCCACACUGGAACUGAGACACGGUCCA